UGGUGCCAGUGUUGGUUCUAAGCUUAGUGUUGGGCAGGAUGGGAAUUUGAAGGGGCCCCUGGGACAUGGAACAGCAGACUGGUUCCAAAUAGGCAAAGGAGUACGUCAUGGCUGUGUACUGUCACGCUGCUCAUUUAACUUACAUGCAGAGUACAUCAUGAGAAACUCUGGGCUGGAUGAAGCACAAGCUGGAAUCAAGAUUGCCAGGAGAAAUAUCAAUAACCUCAGAUAUACAGGUGACACCACGAAGAAGAACUUAAGAAGGCUCUUCAGUACCUCUUCACUUUCUGCCAUAAGGGUGGUGUCAUCUGCAUAUCUGAGGUUAUUCAUAUUUCUCCUGGCAAUCUUGUUUCCAGCUUGUGCUUCCUCCAGCCCAGCCCAACGUUUCUCAUGAUGUACUCUGCAUAGAAGUUAAAUAAGCAGGUUGACAAUAUGCAGCCUUGACGUACUCCUUCUCCUAUUUGGAACCAGUCUGUCGUUCCAUGUCCAGUUCUAACUGUUGCUUCCUGACUUGCAUACAGAUUUCUCAAGAAGCAGGUCAGGUGGUCUGGUAUUCCCAUCUCUUUCAGAAUUUUCCACAAUUUAUUGUGAUCCACACAGUCAAAGGCUUUGGCAUAGUCAAUAAAACAGAAAUAGAUGUUUUUCUGGAACUCUAUUGCUUUUUUGAUGAUCCAGCGCAUGUUGGCAAUUUGAUCUCUGGUUCCUCUGCCUUUUCUAAAACCACCUUGAACAUCUGGAAACUCACGGUUCACGUAUUGCUGAAGCCUGGCUUGGAGAAUUUUGAGCAUUACUUUACUAGCGUGUACCUUACUACCCAGCAAUCCACUCCUAGAUGUUUACACAGAGUCCCUGAAUGUAAAUGUUAAUUACAGCUUUAUUCAGAGUAGCCCAGAGGUGGAAACAAAUGUCCCUCAACAG
ensembl:lncRNA